GUUUGGAAUUAGAUGAUCUCUAAGGUCCCUUCCAAGCCAAACCAUUCUAUGAUUCUGUAUUUAGGCUUCCAAGCGUAUUUAUGGCUGAUCUCUGCACAGCUGGGAGACCUACAGGGUGAAUCAGAUGUAGCAGGCUGCAACAGAAAGGAAAUCAGAAGGCUGCUUUUCUAGGACAAGAAAUUGUCUGGUUCUAACUGUGUGAGGAAGCAUCAUCUGGCAGACAGAUACUUUCAGGAAUCUCUAUCCCAGCACUUUGCAGGGCCUUGAGUAAACUCAAACACUAUCUAUUUGUUGAUGAAAGCCACAGGAUAUGUAAUUUAUGGCAUUCCUGAGCUCUUCCUUGUGGGUCCCAUAGCCUGUUGAAAUAGCACGACCAAGUUGUACACACAGACUUGAUGCUUUUUAACACAUCAAGAGAAGAAGUGGUAUUUUUCCAUCUGAAGGAUGUAAUUUCUUCUGUCUGAGUCCAUCUGUCCUGUUAGUUAAAAAUCAGUCCAUGAAAAUAACUUUGGGGCAGUUCUUGCCCACGUGAGUGGAUUAUUUCUUUUUAAAUAACAAACCCUCCAAAUACAUAGAUAGAGACAGAACUUAAAUCGAUAUUGCAAGUUUCAAGUUUUUGAGACUUUAACAGGGAGGACAGCUGCACAAACUCGUAUGGAGAAUGUACUCUUAUGUGGGACUCCAAAGCAUUUUGUCGUCAUGCAAAUGCUUUUUCAACAGGGUCCGGCCCAGGUCUUCAGAUGCCACCAACCCUGGUGGAGAAAUUGCAUUUGCUUGGUGAAUGUUCCAGUCUGUUCCUACUAAAGAGCAAGAAAUCGCAGCUCUGGAAACUCUGGGAGGGAUCCAUGGAGUCCUGGCUGUACAUCCUAGAAGUUCUACGUUGUUUAUAGCUAUUUCUUUUUUUUUAAGUUUCUUAUGUUAACCUUUGGGAUAUCUGGGACAUAUGGAUUGGUGCACUGAAGCACAUUUUUAAGAACUGAAAUAAAGGAUUUCUUUUUUUUUUUUUGUCAGUUUUCACUUUAUUUUGUAACCUCUGCUGUAUGCAGAAUAAACACUUGUGUAAUAUAGAAGUCUCACCUGAAUUGUAACUUUUUGUGUUUGAGUUGGAAGGGACCAUUUGAGUUGGAAGGAAGCAUUAAAGGCCAUCUGGUCCAACUCCCUGCACUGAACAGGGACACCUCAGCUCCAUCAUGUGCUCAGAGCCCCAUCCAGCCUGACCUUGAAUAUCUCCAAAUCUUCCUUUCCAGAUGCUGUCACUGAGGCUGUGCCACCUGCCAGGAUCACGGCCCUCCAUCAGCCCCCCAUGGCCACGCGCUCUUAGAAAGCAUGGCCACUAAUCCGUCAUUCACCACUCUGUGCAGAGCGGCAGACUCCCUCCCCAACCCACCCACACUUAUCUCAUCCUAUUGAGAGCGCUGCCUGAUCGGGCAGAAUCAAAAUGGCUCACGUGCAAUAUGAAGAGCAAGUGGGUUUGACCAGUGCUCACGCCAAACCUAAAUACGGAUUGAAGUGCACGCUGCCAGCACAAAGUGUGCAUUGUGUGGCUUUGCUGCGCGGUCCCCAGCCUCAGCUCCAGGGCUGUAAGAAUGCUGCACCCUCGCUUUGAGGGCACAACAAAGCAGCAGUGUCUGAAAUGGAAUGUGCUGCAGGUAGCGAGCUAAGCCUCCAUCACCAAAGGCAGUGGGAGGAUUAAUUAAGCUCAAGAAGGCUGUUGCUUGGAGGGACUUCACAGGAAUGCAGACCGAAGGCCCUCAAAGAGCCCACAACAAAGGGCAAAGCCAUGCGCACUGCAGCUCGUGCCAGGAUGAGCUCUGUGGGAUUAAGGGCUUGGUCUGCCUUGCAGAAAGGGCAGGAACAUCGCUGCCCUAGAGAGCAAUGUGAGCAGGAAACGGAUUUUCGGGUGGUUUUUCCUUGGUAGGGUGGAUUAAAAAAUUGCAGUCUUGCUAAUGACAUAAAUGCUACAUCUGAUACAAUCAAAUGUAUAUGAAAGUCGUAAGAUCACAUGUAAUUUGUUUUGAAUUGUGGUUUGUUUCCAAAUAAAAGACCAUAAGCACCUGUUCCA
rnacentral:lncRNA from 1 species